UUACUAAAAAAAUAUUUUCAAAAGAACAUAAUUUUUUUUGUUCUUAACUAUCUAAUCUUUAAAUUAAAAAUAAUCUAACCAUGUGUCAAUAUUUUGAUUUAAAUACAAUUCUUUUUAAGAAUCAAAAUCUUCUAUUAGAUUUCAAAAUCACAUUUAUUAUGAAAAAAAAAAUCUUAACAAAAAUAAAUAAAUUUUUGUAACAAUUGAAAAUCAUAAAUUGUUAUAACUUAUUAAAGUUUAAUUACUAAAUACUACAUUUUUUUGAAUAAAAGAAAAAAAAACUAAUAAAUAACAAUGCAUGUCAAUAAAAAAAAAUAGUGGAGAAGAAAGAUUUAAAAAAGAGCUAGGUUUCAAAUUUAUAAAAAUAAAAUAAAAAAAUCAUUAAACAAGAGUUAUAAGAAAAUAUUAUGUUAAAAUAUAUAUAUAUGUAUAUUAUGUUAAAAUAUAUAUAUACAUAAAUAUAUAAUUUUAAAAUCAUUCAAAAACUUCUUUAAGUAUUCCUAAAUAUAAUGUGUAUAUAUGCAUGACCAAUUAAAAAGCUUAUUUAUGCUCUUUGUUUAUUAUCUGUCUACAUUACAUUUAAGAAAAAAGUCCACUCCUUAUUAUUUACAUAAAUUCCUACAACACUCUUUGAAAAGAAUUUCAACCAUUAAUUUCUAAGCAACGUCAUCUUCACUAAUCAACCAAUGUUUAUGUUGAUUCUGAAGUUUGGUGUACUUCAACACUUCGUAUUGCAAAUAUAAUUAGAUGAAUGACAUAGGAGAAAAAACUUACUUCAUUAACUGCUUCACUUUUGCCUCCUCCACAAUUUCCUGAAUGCCCAUCUGCAAUUGCUUGCACACAUCAAAGUCAGUGCAAGCACAGUGCACUGGGAGAUCAAUAGCUGAACCCUAAUACCUCCAACACAAUGCAUUCAAUUGCAUAUAAUCUGGGAGUAGAUGCAAGAAAUAAUUGAACUGUGAAGAAAAAAGCAAGACAUGAAGUGCUCUGCAACAAGGAUUGCCCUGCAAUGCAUACAUAGUAAGUAAGUAAAUGACUAUCCUUCUUCCGAAUCCAAUUUGUCAUUUGCGUUUGUCUGUUCAGUAUACCUGAAUUCAGGGUAUUCAGGGGCAUCAGUAAUUCCAAUGCAAACAUUCGCGGGAACAGCCGAUGUUGAAGAGGUGGUGGUGAUUUCAAAGAGGAGUCUGUAUACUUACAGAUCAUCUCAAGAGGUUUGCGCUGACAAAGAAACAAACUAAUACUAAAGAACUUAUGCAGUUUGGAAGUGAAAAACGUGACAGGAUAAUCGGUGGUGCGGAUUACCUUGACUCCAGAGACCAUCCACGAAUUGAGCCCAUAAACGCGUGCUUCCUUCCACCUGCUAUACCUCAAUGCGGUUUGGAAGGUAAGAACGUGUUGCAUAACUUUUCUACCACUUACAUUAACGAGAUGAAGAGUACCGAGAAUGCCCAAAAUUUCCGACAAUCUGAUGAACCUCAAUGACCAGUUAUAUUGUACGCCACGGAGAGAGGCGAACAUCGCGUGCGUGCGCGUAAAUCACGUAUCAUUUAUGUGGCUUGUGUCUGGGCUCCGAAGAUCCUUAAGUUGAGAACUGAAUUG
rnacentral:lncRNA from 1 species